UUGGAGGCCGUCGUGUACCGAGGUCAAGCUACAAGAUUAACACUGCUCGCGCCGCCGCUGCCGCCGCCGCCGCGGCUAUUAUGUGAGGCUAGCAGCGGCAGCAGCCGUCAGGGUCAGGCAGGAAGGGAAGGUUAGGGCUGAGAAAGGUCGCCUGCCCGCCCGCCCGCCGGCCCACCUCGCUCCUCAGGGCAGCUAGACGAAUCAGAGACAUCGAUGGCCGCAAUCCGCCUAAUUUUCUUGAGCAGGCAAAAAAGGCUUUUGAUUGGCACAGCGACCCUGAGCAGUUUGCGAAAAUAAUAAUGACGGCAGGCUGAAACGCAGCAGAGGGCCCAUCAAAUAAUGAAAGUGAAAUCACGACCGAAAUUUUCGUCUCGUCGGAGAAACUUUUUGCCAGCAGACUGAUGAGAUUUUCGUGGACACCGAAAACGACACCAUUCUCUUUCCCAUGAUGAAAAAUGCCCCAGAGCACUAAAACACGUUUUCGCAGGCGCAUAGAUAGAGAAGCCGGCGAGGAAGGUGAAACCAAAAAGACGCUAAUUGAAUUUCGGCCUUGACUUUCCGCCAAAAUGUUUUCGCCGCCUCGUCAUUGCGUACGCACCGCGAGCACCCGUGGCCCAUGACCUAAAUUUUUUUGUUAAUGUGGCGACCCUCAAAAUGAGCAGCAGCCUUGAUCGUGCAGCGAUGGUGUAAAACACACACGAACCAACGAACGAGCCUAGGCCAGCCACUUUGUUCUCUCCAUUCUAGAAGCAGAACCUCAGAAAGACAUCAACAUUUUGCGUUUUACGCGUUCCGAGUGAAAAAUAAAAUGGCUUUGCUACCGAGUGGAGGGGCAAUGUUUUUGAGAAUAUCUUUUUUCUGCAGACAGAAAUUGUAAACUCUGACAAAAUUAAA